GAUGGAAAGUGGGCUUAAAGAAGUCAUCUUUUUAGAGUGGGUUAAUCCUCAGUAUUUCUAGUUAAUGAUCAAAUGAAGUUCCUUUUGUUCAACAAAACUUCUUCACGAAACUAAGGGGUGAAGGUAAUAAUGUAAAGAUGAGUAGCUCAGUUUUUGGGGUUUAUUUGGUUCAGGAAAUUAAACGCUAAGUGAACGAUGAUGAUAAGCAAAGCUAAAGGAACUCGGCAACAACGAAAACCGCCUGUUUAGCAAAAACAUGGCUCCUUGAAAUCAUAAGGAGUCGUGCCUUCCCGGUGAGUUUAAACUUAAACGGAUGCGGUAAAGCGUGCUAAGGUAGCUAAGUUAUGGCCUAGUUAAUUGUAGGCCCUGUGAAUGGUUUGACGAGUUUUCUUCUGUCUCUAGCUUGUUUUAGUGAACUUGAAUUGGAUGUGCAAAUGCUUCCUUGCGAAAGAAAGACGAGAAGACCCCGUGAAGUUAGAAAUCUAUGUGCGUGGAGGUAGAAGGUUACUUCCCUUAGCUUAUGGUUUUGG
rnacentral:rRNA from 1 species